rnacentral:rRNA from 1 species
GUCGUACGAGAGUUUCAAACUCAAGUGGCGGACGGGUGAGUAACACGUAAGAAUUUACCUUUAGGAGGGGGACAACAGCUGGAAACGGAUGCUAAUACCCCAUAUGCUUUCGAGUGAAAUGGAUUUUUCCGCCUAAAGAGAAGCUUGCGGCUGAUUAGCUUGUUGGUGAGGUAAUGGCUUACCAAGGCGACGAUCAGUAUCUGGUUUGAGAGGACGACCAGACACACUGGAACUGAGACACGGUCCAGACUCCUACGGGAGGCAGCAGUGGGGAAUUUUCCGCAAUGGGCGAAAGCCUGACGGAGCAAUCUCGCGUGAGGGAUGACUGCCUAUGGGUUGUAAACCUCUUUUUUCAGGGAGGAAUAAAUGACGUGUACCUGAAGAAUAAGCAUCGGCUAACUCCGUGCCAGCAGCCGCGGUAAGACGGAGGAUGCAAGUGUUAUCCGGAAUCACUGGGCGUAAAGCGUCUGUAGGUGGUUUGAUAAGUCAACUGUUAAAUCUUGAAGCUCAACUUCAAAAUCGCAGUCGAAACUAUUAGACUAGAGUAUAGUAGGGGUAAAGGGAAUUUCCAGUGGAGCGGUGAAAUGCGUAGAGAUUGGAAAGAACACCGAUGGCGAAGGCACUUUACUGGGCUAUUACUGACACUCAGAGACGAAAGCUAGGGUAGCAAAUGGGAUUAGAUACCCCAGUAGUCCUAGCCGUAAACAAUGGAUACUAGAUGUUGAACAGAUCGACCUGUGCAGUAUCAAAGCUAACGCGUUAAGUAUCCCGCCU